GAUGAACGCUAGCGGCAGGCCUAACACAUGCAAGUCGAGGGGUAGAACACUUCGGUGUUUGAGACCGGCGCACGGGUGCGUAACGCGUAUGCAAUCUACCUUGUACAGAGGGAUAGCCCAGAGAAAUUUGGAUUAAUACCUCACAGUGUUAUCGAAUGGCAUCGUUUGAUAACUAAAGUUCCAACGGUACAAGAUGAGCAUGCGUCCCAUUAGUUAGUUGGUAAGGUAACGGCUUACCAAGACAAUGAUGGGUAGGGGUCCUGAGAGGGAGAUCCCCCCACACUGGUACUGAGACACGGACCAGACUCCUACGGGAGGCAGCAGUGAGGAAUAUUGGACAAUGGGCGCAAGCCUGAUCCAGCCAUGCCGCGUGCAGGAUGACUGCCCUAUGGGUUGUAAACUGCUUUUAUACAGGAAGAAACACUGCUACGAGUAGCAGCUUGACGGUACUGUAGGAAUAAGGAUCGGCUAACUCCGUGCCAGCAGCC
rnacentral:rRNA from 1 species